rnacentral:rRNA from 1 species
CAGCCUACAAGGCCUUUACUGACGCUAAAGCUCGAAGGUGCGGGUAUCGAACAGGAUUAGAUACCCUGGUAGUCCGCACGGUAAACGAUGGAUGCCCGCUGUUUGCGAUAUACAGUAAGCGGCCAAGAGAAAUCGUUAAGCAUCCCACCUGGGGAGUACGCCGGCAACGGUGAAACUCAAAGGAAUUGACGGGGGCCCGCACAAGCGGAGGAACAUGUGGUUUAAUUCGAUGAUACGCGAGGAACCUUACCCGGGCUUGAACUGCAGCGGAAGGAAACAGAGAUGUUGACGUCCUUCGGGACCGCUGUGGAGGUGCUGCAUGGUUGUCGUCAGCUCGUGCCGUGAGGUGUCGGCUUAAGUGCCAUAACGAGCGCAACCCUUUUCAUCAGUUGCCAUCAGGUGAUGCUGGGCACUCUGUUGAUACUGCCACCGUAAGGUGUGAGGAAGGUGGGGAUGACGUCAAAUCAGCACGGCCCGACCGGCGGGGGGUACACACGCGGUACAAUUGGGCAUACAGAAGGCAGGAACGUGGCAACAUGUUUCAAAUCUUUAAAGUGUCGUCAGUUCGGAUUCCCAAUGCAACCCGACGCCACAAGCAGA